CAGCAAUCAAAAGCAAGUAGCUAACUAAUCAAAUCAAAUGCCUUAUAAUUACCAACAGGAAAUCAAACCUUGUGCAAUCAGUAACAUUUUCCUACAGAUGAAUCUUACCUGUAACAGUAAAAAAGAAAACUCUUAGCACAACUCUUAGACAGUUGAAGUUUCUGUAAAACUCUCCAGAAUAUCUCCAACCACACACUUAGAAGCA